GCGGGAAAAAAGUACCAUCAAAAUACUGGAGCGAGAGUUCAGGAGAAUGUGAGAUUCCUACCAAAAAAGAAGAAUAAUGUCCACAUCCUCUCAGAAGCCAUCAAGCCUCCCAAAGCCUCCAAGUUACAAACCACCUCCUGACAUCACAGCUCACUCACCUGAGGAAGAAGAGCCAUCCCUGCCAAAUCUUUCAGCUAAUAAUACUUUUCAUGAUACAGUUUUUGAGCCUGAUGGGAGGUAGCAACAUUGGAGACGCUGUGAGGAGAAUCCUUCGGAAAAUAGCCACCAUUGAGGCCUGGUCAAAUUACAGCCUUAAAGGCCGAAAAGGAAAACUGAACUUCAUUGGGACAGCCUUCCACCAUAUUGUUUUAAGUAUGCUUUUUAAAACUUCUCUCUUCUUUUCACUUCAUCAUGCAACUUUUUAAAGAGCAAAUGAUAAACAGAAACAUGUCUGUACUGUCCCUGUACCUUCGAAUAAUUUGUUUUCUCGUUUUUGACUUCUAAACGAAAAUAAAAACCAAGUAUAAA